CACGUAGGGGGCAAGCGUUGUCCGGAUUUAUUGGGCGUAAAGAGCUCGUAGGUGGUUCGGUAAGUCGGGUGUUAAACCCCCAGGCUCAACCUGGGGACGCCACUCGAUACUGCUGUGACUAGAGUCCGGUAGGGGAGCGUGGAAUUCCUGGUGUAGCGGUGAAAUGCGCAGAUAUCAGGAAGAACACCCGUGGCUAAGGCGGUUCUCUAGUACGGUACUGACGCUGAGACGCGAAAGCGUGGGGAGCGAACAGG
rnacentral:rRNA from 1 species